rnacentral:lncRNA from 10 species
AGAUAGCUCAAGACCCAAGCAUCUUUCCAUCAGGUGAGUCACCCUCUUCCUCAGAGCCCACUUUUGUCUCAAAAAGUAUCUGUGGGAUUUUGACUUAUGGCUGUGGCUGAGUGAUGACACUAAGAAGUUAAUGGCAUUGAAAGAUGUUUAUUACUUACAUUUUCCAGAAGGAGGGGGCAUGCCCCUCCACACAAGGCCCAGCAGGGAAGCACCAGGUUUACUCAGAAAGCCAAAGGGGGCCAGGUGCGGUGGCUCACACCUGUAAUCACAGCACUUUGGGAGGCUGAGGCAGGCAGAUGACUUAAGGUCAGGAGUUCGAGACCAGACUGGCCAACGUGGUGAAACCCCAUCCCUACUAAAAAUACAAAAUGAGUCAGGUAUUGUUGCGCACAGCUGUAAUCCCAGCUACUGGGGAGGCUGAGGUGGGAGAAUCGCUUGAACCGGGGAGUGGGAGAUUGAAGUGAGCCGAGAUAGCACCACUGCACCUCCAGCCUGGGUGAGAGAGUGAGACUCCGUCUCAGAAAAAAUAAAAAUAAAAAUAAAAAAGAUAAAAAGGAAGACAAAAGGGUGAGAAGAAAGCAAAACCCAGGGUCUCUUACUGCUAUUUCCGUGGGAAAGGCAAGGCCCUGGCUGCUUAGGGCAGAAGACAUUGCCUGCUACAGUGUUAAGAGCCACAUAAAGGAGGUAGUUCAGAGUGUGAGCUCUCGAUGGGUUAGUUUGUGUAUGAAAGACAUGCUGCAAGGUGAGCCCUUUGCUAGCUCCAAGAAUUGUCUAGCCCUGAGAGGGGCAGUGUCCUUUCACCCAGCAAGGGCACAAAUGCUAGAGCACCAAGAAUACAGAAAUUUUAAAAAUAUAUGUGGGUAAUUGAAGUUCUAUGAAGAAGCAGCUGCUCCCAAAGCCUCUGGACCAAACAAAGCAUUGUCCUACCCUGGCCAUGCUUACCCUCGUCUUCUAAGUUCAUUAGCUUCUUUCAUGCCACUGUGUCCCCAGUUCUCCAAUCUUUUUUAUAAGAUAUGUAACUCUGAUACAAUAUAUAGCCCUCUGCCUUACUACUUUCCCCACUGGAUUGAGGACAGAACCAUCAUUUGGUUCAUCUUUGCAUUGACCACAGUGCCUGACACAGUAGAUGCUUCACAGAAUAUGAACACUUCAAAGGGGGUAGUUUUGCCCACAACUGUCUCUACUGACAGCCAGUGGAUUAUCAAGGAUCCUGGUACAAGCAUGCUGCAGAGCAGGGUGAGCAUCAAGGGAGUGCCUGAUAUAGACAUGGGUUUGUGCAUUAUUCCUGCCUGCACUUCCAAAGUUUUCAAAAACCCUGUUACUCCAAACCCCAGUUAAAAACCUGUGCUCAAAAUAAUUUUGCCAAGUUGCCAGAUUGUCUAGAUCAAUUUUAGAGCAUGAGAUGAUGGAAAGAUUACAGAAUGGAAGAAAAGGCAGGGUCAGAUGCAGUAGAAAGGGUGCACUUCCUGCAUGAAACUCAAUCCCGGAAUUGAGAGAGGAGGAUAAAAACCCCUCUCAACUGGGAUAUUCAAGCCAAGGCUCUAGAAGCUGUUUUUGUCUAACAGUUGAGAGUUGCAACCGCUGAAUGGGAACAGAUGAGGCAAGCGAACCUCAUGUGCAAUUAGGCCAAUGUGGAGCUAUUCACAUUUGGAGGCUUGGUAGGCAAUUUCACAUUCUUCUGGAGCUAAGCCAACCGACGGGCUGUGACAUGAGAUAAUCGGUGCCACUGAUGUGUGAAGGUCUCGUGAGAGAUGACAGACACGCUGCGGAAACAGGCAUCGGAGGGUCUCUGCCGGGUCAUCGUGAUGCGUGUGUGAGUCUGCACUGAGUCCGGCAUGCAGUGAGGGCCCAAUGAAUGUGGACCCUAAAUAUGCUUUUGGGCAAGAUGCCGUAAAGAUUUUCCUCCACUAUUGAGGCUGAUGCAAAGGAGCGGAACAGGAAGACACAGAUGAUGAUGAUAAGAAGAACCUCCGUGGAAAACAGUAUGGAGAUUUUUCAAAGAACUAAAAAUAGAACUAUUUGAUCCACCAGUCCCACUACUGGGUUAUCUAACCGAAAGAAAAGACAUCAUUCUAUCAAAAAGAUAACCUGCACUCAUGAUUAUCAGAGCACUAUUCACAAUAGCAAAGCUCCAUUCAUGUUGCUGCAAAAGACAUGAUUUUAUUAUUUUUUUUUAUGGCCGAGUAGUGUAUUUUUCCACAUUUUCUUUAUUCUACCAUCCACUGAUGGACACUUAGGCUGAUUCCAUAUCUUUGCUAAUGUGGUCUGCGGAAUGCACAGAGAGCUGGGCUCCCAAGGGCAGGCACAAGCACCAGCUCUGAGAAGGUCUGAAGGACAGCCACCAAACACCAGAGACAUGCCCAGGCACAAGCAGAGAAACUGCCACUGCAUCAAGUUCUCCACACAAGAAGGGAGGGGCAGCCCAAGCCCCUAAUUCAAGCGAGCAGGUGCACUAAAUGCCUAGAGAUAUAACCAGGUGAGGUGCAGAGAAACCACUGCAGCACCAAGUUCCUUGCACAGGAAGGGAGGGCAGCCCAAGCUCCUAAUCCAGAUGAAUGGGUAUGGGAUCCACAUCCCUGUUACUCCUCAGAACCAGAGGAGCUCACUCCUCCAUUUGAUCAAGGGAGGAAGCUGAGGCACCCAGCAUUGUCACAUGCAGACUGGCCCCAGGUCGCAAAGUAGUUCUUCUUUGCAAAUCUCACUGCGCAGACAAAAUCACAGUAUGGAGAUCUUCAGCAAAUCUCCUAUUCCAAUCCUGCAAAUGGAGAGAGUCAAACUCUAGCACCUAUGGCUGCAGUGCAUUCCACACUGGCCACUCAAUUCUGACUGUGGGAGCCCUUCCCCCACUCCAGGCCAAGCACUCCAGUCUCUAGCCUGAGACUCAAAUUCCUGCAGCAGCCCUUGCUGCCAGGCCACUGAACACUGCCCAGCUUGGGAUAAAUCCAGAUUUAGAAUGACAUCCUCCCAUUGGUCUCAGGACUAGAAAAAUGUCUGCAGCCUUUGUCUCAGUGUCUUUCCCUCCACAGUCUCUUGGCCUCUCCUCAAGUUACCUCCAAAGCGUGGGAGGGACAAGGUGCUCUUCCAUGGCCUGAGUUGUAGGAAUCCCUAGUACAAAGCUGGAUUACAGAGGGAGACUCUCCACCUCCUCACAUACCAGGGCUUCACUCACAGGUCUCAGCCAAAUACCACCACGAAGUCUGCUUGCUGACUUUCUCUUCCCCAAGAUCUAAAGUGACCUUCACUUUUCUGGUGAAUUCCCAAGUUUCUUCUUGAAUAAAAGCUCACAAUG